rnacentral:tRNA from 1 species
CUAGCUGUGUUUUGGUGGUAGAGCAUUUGCUUGGCAUGCAAGAAGGUUCCAGGUUCAAAUCCUGCCCCUCCAGUUAAA